rnacentral:lncRNA from 1 species
AAGAGCCAGGAGUACAGGCCACUAGCAUGUCUGGGGGCGGGGCUGGGGGGCAGAGGGUGGGGGCGGAGAUGGAUUUCAUGAGUCGCCCUGCUUCUGCCCCUCACAGUCUGCACCGGCUCUGAUUCUGGACCUCAACUAAUCCUUUCAGCUUCUUCAUAUACACGCCCACACACAGAGACACACACACACACACACUCAUGCCUUCCACCCAUGUCCGUGGCCUGGGGCUGGACUAACACCAUGAAGUGUCAGCAAACGGAUUUUACAAACAUUACCUCCCAAAUGGCAGCCUGACGUCUGAAAAUAUUACCUACUCUGUGUCCCUACAACACCGUCAGUUCACUCAAUUGCGUAAUCAUAGACGAACGUGCCUUACUGCAGCCUCCUGUUUUCCUUCUCGUGUUGGUAACAGAGUCUAAGGGCUGGCUUUAAGACCUCUGGGAUAAGAUUAAUGCCAAAGUACCCAGUGUUUCCAUUCAUCCAAGGAGCAGGCUGCCUGCAAAACAUGUCUAAAAUUAUCCCUAAUUCCAAGUCCUCUCUACACAAUCAAGCUCUCCAAUAUAAUAAUUCCAAAACCUUUCUUGAUUCCUGCUUUUAAUAAAGUACAUUUACAGAGGAUAUGAGUUCCAGAUUUGAUUUCAGACUCUGGGGAUGUAUAUUCCUCUUCUGGAACUUGUAUAUCCGGUCCUGGGGAAAAAAAAAAAGAAAAGGGAAAGAGAGAAAGAGAAAGAGAGGGGGAGAGAGUGCAGAGCGUAACAAACAUUCCUUGUAUUUCUUCUGUCUUUUGCCCACUGAGCGCGGAGGGGAGAGACGGGCUGAUACACAGCAUCUGGUUAAAGUCAGAUGGAGGAAAACUGGAGCCAACACAGAGGUUUCAGUUUUAGGAGAUACUUGGGAGAAAUGA